UUUCCUUGGGAAAUGGCCGGGAAGUCGCCGGAUUGAGAAGAACCGAACCCGCCUCGGCGGCUCGGUUCCUUCUUCCGUUCCGGCAGGCCAUCGCCGGGCGUGGCACCACCGGCACCGCCACAGGCCGACGACCAGGGGGCGUCGCCGGCCGUGGGCCACCGGCGGCCGAACCUCCUUCUCCCCUUUCCGUCGGGAAGAAGGAAGAAG
rnacentral:lncRNA from 1 species